rnacentral:sRNA from 1 species
CCCCCGUAGUACACAAAUUUUUGCUCCCACCAGCAAUUCCACAUUUGGCCUAAUCUGACCCGUUGACGCAAUGUAGCCACUCGGAUUGUACACCUCCUCAGCAAAGCUCCCCAAUUCCUUAGUCCCUGAAUCCAUUGUACCAUUUUCCUCCGAAAUCAUCCCUAUUCUGUCUUCGACAGCCACCACCAUUGGUUCGAGUUGGGUUCAGGAGAUGUCCACCAUGCACAAGUCAGUGCUGUUAGGAUGGAACACCUCCAGCUUGGGUAGAUAAGAUGGGGUGUGUAACAACCCACAUUUAUGGCUUAGUCGUGUUUGCAUGCAUUUAUAUGUUUUGCCAUGUUAAGUUGCUGUAACAACCCAUAUUCAUGUCAUAGUCAUAUUCAUGUUCAUUUACAUAACUUUGUCUUGAUAAGUUUACAUUCAUGAAUCUUGUCUUGUUUUGUAUUCAUGUGAC